GUCGGGAUAGCUCAGCUGGUAAAGCAGAG
rnacentral:tRNA from 2 species